AGAUGGACAACUUCAAGGCAUGUUCUGCAGGCUCUCUUAGACUCUCCCACGGGGACUGAGCUCCAGCUGCCUAGACAGCAGGUAACCUCCUCAGUAACACCACCUUCAGCUUCCUGGGAUCCCCUCGCUGCCAACUAUUUGCUCUCACAUUCUUGUUCCAGCACCUGCUUGUCUCAAGCAGGUGAAGCAGUGAACCAGCAGAAAGCAGGGGACUGACUCUUGGUCUCCUGUUCCUGAACUGGAUCUGGACGUUUGUCCCUGUUGGGUCAGCAGAACUCCCUUCCCCUCCCCUUUCAUGGGGCUGUGGGCGGGGACUUUCCACCUGGCUGAGGGACCCAAAAUGGCCAAUCAGAAGCUGACAUGGCAACAAACCCCCAACCACCACAGGUUCUGCUGGCUGAGGCCAUUGCCCUGUCAAUUCAAAUCAGCCCUGACCAACCCGCGACAGACAGGAUCCCCCUAGACUCAGCUCAGCCAACCUGCUGUCGGUAGCUGCAAUUUACACGGCCUGGGCCCUCCUACCUCCAGCUUCCCUGGUUAGCACUGUUCUCGCCCUUCCCGCCCUUGACUUCCCGGCCCUCACCCUUUGGUGGCUGGUGAACCUCGCCCGGGAGCCCCCCAAUAAACCUCCUGAUCCUGCGCGCCCUUUCUGCUUUACACUUCUGUAUCAUGAAGUGAGCCUGCUCCAUCCGUCAUCCAAGAGACACCUGAAGCCACUGUCCUGAAGCCUAAGGUGUUAGGAAUAAUCAAGAUGAGACUGGCCUCAGGGCAAGUUGUGCUUAAAUGGCGGAUUGGACUUCUCUUAAAGCAGAGAUUCUAGGUGUUUCCGUCCAGCAGCCUCAGGAGGGGCGAGGACUCUGGCAGUGAGGUUGGGGCACAGCUGAGGCAGCCAUGAUAAGCAUAAACAUUCUGCAAGGCUUGUGUUUUAUCUCAAAACGGGUGCACCAUUUGUGUUCUAUUCUACAAUAUGUUUAACA
rnacentral:lncRNA from 1 species